rnacentral:rRNA from 1 species
GACGACGCUGGCGGCGUGCCUAAUACAUGCAAGUAGGACGAGUUGCGAACGGGUGAGUAACGCGUGGUAACCUACCUAUUAGAGGGGGAUAACUACUGGAAACGGUAGCUAAUACCGCAUACCAUCAGAUGUGCCCAAAUGGGAUUAGUUAGUAGGUGGGGUAAUGGCUCACAGAGGCGACGAUCCCUAGCUGGUCUGAGAGGUGGACCAGCCAAACUGGAACUGAGACACGGUCCAGCCUCCUACGGUAGGCAGCAGUGGGGAAGAUGGCACAAUGGGCGCAAGCCUGAUGCAGCCAUGACGCGUCUGUGAAGAAGGCCUUCGGGUUGUAAAGCACUUUCAGCGAGGAGGCGUUACUCGCAGAAGAAGCACCGGCUAACUCCGUGCCAGCAGCCGAGGUAAUAC